GACAGAGGGUGCAACCGUUGGUCGGAAUUACUGGGCGUAAAGCGCGUGUAGGCUGCUCAGAAAGUCGGAUGUGAAAGCCCUGGGCUUAACCUAGGAAGUGCAUUCGAAACUUCUGAGCUUGAGUUCUGGAGAGGAAGGCGGAAUUCUCGGUGUAGAGGUGAAAUUCGUAGAUAUCGAGAGGGACACCGGUGGCGAAGGCGGCCUUCUGGACAGUGACUGACGCUGAGACGCGAAAGCGUGGGGAGCGAACAGG
rnacentral:rRNA from 1 species